rnacentral:rRNA from 1 species
AUUGAACGCUGGCGGCGUGCCUAAUACAUGCAAGUAGGACGCAGUUGCGAACGGGUGAGUAACGCGUAGGUAACUACCUAUUAGAGGGGGAUAACUAUUGGAAACGAUAGCUAAUACCGCAUACUAGUAGAUGGACCUGCGGUGUAUUAGCUAGUAGGUAGGGUAAAGGGCGCCCUAGGCAACGAUACAUACCCGACCUGAGAGGGUGAUCGGCAACACUGGUACUGAGACACGGCCCAGAAUCCUACGGGAGGCAGCAGUAGGGAAUCGUCGGGAAUGGGGGGAACCCUGACCGAGCAACGCCGCGGGAGUGAAGAAGGUUUUCGGAUCGGAAAGCUCUGUUGUUAAGGAAGCGGUACUUAACCAGAAAGGGACGGCUAACUACGUGCCAGCAGCCGCGGUAAUAC